rnacentral:lncRNA from 1 species
CUUUUGAUCAACUCAUGACAGUGUUGCCAUCAAAAAAAUAAAUCUAAUUAGUUGAAGUUUUUUAAUUAUAAAUUAUGUUUGAUUGGAGCAGAAUAUCAAAGAACUUGUCUUACUUUUGCGAUCAAGGAGAAUCAAAUUGAUCGAUAUCAUGGUUGUCUCAUAUUCAUCUCAUUCUUCUACAUAGAUCUACAAUCUUCAUAAAUCC